rnacentral:rRNA from 1 species
UACGGGGGGAGCAAGCGUUGUUCGGAUUUACUGGGCGUAAAGGGCGUGUAGGCGGCCACCGCAAGUCGACUGUGAAAUCUCCGGGCUUAACUCGGAAAGGUCAGCCGAUACUGCGGGGCUAGAGUGCAGAAGGGGCAACUGGAAUUCUCGGUGUAGCGGUGAAAUGCGUAGAUAUCGAGAGGAACACCUGUGGCGAAGGCGGCUACCUGGCCCAAUACUGACACUCAGGUGCGACAGCGUGGGGAGCAAACAGG